rnacentral:misc_RNA from 1 species
GAUGAAGAACGCAGCAAAAUGCGAUAAGUAAUGUGAAUUGCAGAAUUCAGUGAAUCAUCGAAUCUUUGAACGCACAUUGCGCCCGCCAGUAUUCUGGCGGGCAUGCCUGUUCGAGCGUCAUUUCAACCCUCAAGCACAGCUUGGUGUUGGGACUCGCGUUAAUUCGCGUUCCCCAAAUUGAUUGGCGGUCGCGUCGAGCUUCCAUAGCGUAGUAGUAAAACCCUCGUUACUGGUAAUCGUCGCGGCCACGCCGUUAAACCCCAACUUCUGAAUGUUGACCUCGGAUCAGGUAGGAAUACCCGCUGAACUUAAGCAUAUCAAUAAGCGGAGGA